rnacentral:rRNA from 1 species
GUAGGUGGCAAGCGUUGUCCGGAAUUAUUGGGGCGUAAAGCGCGCGCAGGCGGUUCUUUAAGUCUGAUGUGAAAGCCCACGGGCUCAACCGUGGAGGGUCAUUGGAAACUGGAGAACUUGAGUACAGAAGAGGAAAGCGGAAUUCCACGUGUAGCGGUGAAAUGCGUAGAGAUGUGGAGGAACACCAGUGGCGAAGGCGGCUUUCUGGUCUGUAACUGACGCUGAGGCGCGAAAGCGUGGGGAGCAAACAGGAUUAGAUACCCUGGUAGUCCACGCCGUAAACGAUGAGUGCCAAGUGUUAGGGGUUUUCCGCCCCUUAGUGCUGCAGCUAACGCAUUAAGCACUCCGCCUGGGGAGUACGGCCGCAAAGGCUG